UGAGAGCAUAUCCAGACGUAAAUCAAAAUCAUAUCCUCUCCAGCAACACCUAAGAAUAAAAAACAAAUCAUGAAAUUUAUGCUCUCCGAAUCGAUAAAGAUUGAAACAAAAAGAAUUUACUAGAGAUCACCAAAUUAAAACGAUUGGCUCUGUGCUCUUGUCCAUUUUAUGAACGCAUUUCUAGACAUCGAAAUCUCUUAGCCCGCUGCAAAACGGAUAAAC
rnacentral:lncRNA from 1 species